rnacentral:rRNA from 1 species
GAUGAACGCUAGCGGGAGGCCUAACACAUGCAAGCCGAGCGGUAGAGAUCUUUCGGGAUCUUGAGAGCGGCGUACGGGUGCGGAACACGUGUGCAACCUGCCUUUAUCAGGGGGAUAGCCUUUCGAAAGGAAGAUUAAUACCCCAUAAUAUAUUAGAUGGCAUCAUUUGAUAUUGAAAACUCCGGUGGAUAGAGAUGGGCACGCGCAAGAUUAGAUAGUUGGUGAGGUAACGGCUCACCAAGUCAAUGAUCUUUAGGGGGCCUGAGAGGGUGAUCCCCCACACUGGUACUGAGACACGGACCAGACUCCUACGGGAGGCAGCAGUGAGGAAUAUUGGACAAUGGGUUAGCGCCUGAUCCAGCCAUCCCGCGAGAAGGACGACUGCCCUAUGGGUUGUAAACUUCUUUUGUACAGGGAUAAACCUAUCUACGUGUAGAUAGCUGAAGGUACUGUACGAAUAAGCACCGGCUAACUCCGUGCCAGCCGCCGCAGUAACAC